rnacentral:rRNA from 1 species
AACGAACGCUGGCGGCAUGCCUAACACAUGCAAGUCGAACGAGACCUUCGGGUCUAGUGGCGCACGGGUGCGUAACGCGUGGGAACCUGCCCUUAGGCUCGGAAUAACUCCCCGAAAGGGGUGCUAAUACCGGAUAAUGUCUUCGGACCAAAGAUUUAUCGCCUUUGGAUGGGCCCGCGUUGGAUUGGCUAGUGGGUAGGGUAAAAGCCUACCAAGGCGAGGAUCCAUAGCUGGUCUGAGAGGAUGAUCAGCCACACUGGGACUGAGACACGGCCCAGACUCCUACGGGAGGCAGCAGUGGGUAAUAUUGGACAAUGGGCGAAAGCCUGAUCCAGCAAUGCCGCGUGAGUGAUGAAGGCCUUAGGGUUGUAAAGCUCUUUUACCCGGGAUGAUAAUGACAGUACCGGGAGAAUAAGCACCGGCUAACUCCGUG